CGGUAGCACGGGGGAGCUUGCUCCCUGGGUGACGAGCGGCGGCACGUGUGAGUAAUGUCUGGGAAACUGCCUGAUGGAGGGGGAUAACUACUGGAAACGGUAGCUAAUACCGCAUAACGUCGCAAGACCAAAGUGGGGGACCUUCGGGCCUCACGCCAUCAGAUGUGCCCAGAUGGGAUUAGCUAGUAGGUGGGGUAAUGGCUCACCUAGGCGACGAUCCCUAGCUGGUCUGAGAGGAUGACCAGCCACACUGGAACUGAGACACGGUCCAGACUCCUACGGGAGGCAGCAGUGGGGAAUAUUGCACAAUGGGCGCAAGCCUGAUGCAGCCAUGCCGCGUGUGUGAAGAAGGCCUUCGGGUUGUAAAGCACUUUCAGCGAGGAGGAAGGGUGGUGUCUUAAUACGGCAUCACAUUGACGUUACUCGCAGAAGAAGCACCGGCUAACUCCGUGCCAGCAGCCGCGGUAAUACGGAGGGUGCAAGCGUUAAUCGGAAUUACUGGGCGUAAAGCGCACGCAGGCGGUUUGUUAAGUCAGAUGUGAAAUCCCCGGGCUCAACCUGGGAACUGCAUUUGAAACUGGCAAGCUAGAGUCUCGUAGAGGGGGGUAGACUUCCGGGUGUAGCGGUAAAAUGCGUAGAGAUCUGGAGGAAUACCGGUGGCGAAGGCGGCCCCCUGCACCAAAACUGACUCUCAGGUGCGAAAGCGUGUGGAACAAACAGGAUUAAAUUACAGUGGAUUCCACCCCUGUACACGAUCUCUAUUUGCAAGUUUCGGCUGUUGGGCUGGUGUUUCCGGGAACAAACUCGUUUAAAUCGACCGCCCUGAGCGUUUACCGCCCCCGAGGUUAUA
rnacentral:rRNA from 1 species